ensembl:lncRNA
GCAAAGUAAUUUUAACAGGUAUUUGCCAGUUGCCUGAAGUGGAGACUCAACUGAAGGCUUUAAUAAUCCUUUAUUAGGCAGAUACCCACAUAUCUUUAUGGACAGACAAUGUACAGUUUGGCAUCAUUUAAAAAUGCCACCCAGCCUAUCAACUGAUGCCUAGAGAAUGUGAGCCUGAAAGAUAACAAUGUGUAGGCUGAGGCCACAGAUGUCACGUCAGUCAUCCUUGGCGGUUUUCUUGCACUGACAUUGGGAAGCAGCUUAUGGUCUCAGGAUGGACCGAAAAAUGAUUUUCGUAUUACUACUGUCAGGUUAUAUUUCCAGAGAACCUGUUGCAACACGGCGUACAGAGACCGCUGUCACUUUGGACUCACCAGGUUAUAUUUCCAGAGAACCUGUUGCAACACGGCGUACAGAGACCGCUGUCACUUUGGACUUACCAGGUUAUAUUUCCAGAGAACCUGUUGCAACACGGCGUACAGAGGCCGCUGUCACUUGGGAUUCACCAGUUACCAGUUACCAACCAAGGGAGAUGGAUAAUAGAUUUCCAGCCAUUAGUAUCAUAUCUGUGUAUUUAAUAAGCACCUAUCUGUGUGAUAUUCUAUGAUACAUGAGUCAAAUUAAAGCAACAACACUGAAAAGAAACUUUGCAAGGUUAACUCUGGCUCUUGGAAUUGGGGUAAUUUUUUUCUGCUAUUUCAGUUCAGUUCAAUUCAGUCAUUCAGUUGUGUCCAACUCUUUGCGACCCCAUGAAUUGCAGCACGCCAGGCCUCCCUGUCCAUCACCAACUCUUGGAGCCUACCCAGACUCACAUCCAUCAAGUCGGUGACGCCAACCAGCCAUCUCAUCCUCUGUCGUCCCCUUCUCCUCCUGCCCCCAAUCCUUCCCAGCAUCAGGGUCUUUUCCAGUGAGUCAACUCUUCGCAUGAGGUGGCCAAAGUAUUGGAGUUUCAGCUUCAGCAUCAGUCCUUCCAGUGAACACCCAAGACUGAUCUCCUUUAGGAUGGACUGGUUGGAUCUCCUUGCAGUCCAAUGGACUCUCAAGAGUCUUCUCCAACAUCACAGUUCAAAAGCAUCAAUUCUUCGGUGCUCAGCUUCCGUCACAGUCCAACUCUCACCUCCAGUAGACAUACUACUGGAAAAACCAUAACCUUGACUAGAUGGACCUUUGUUGGCAAAGUAAUGCUUUUUAAUACUUUCUAAAUUCUCUGGAAAAGAAUCAUACAACAUAAUUAGGAAAAGUUUUACAAUUUUUCAAGUUAAAGCAAACAUAUACAACCUGUGCUUUCUAAGCUGUCUCUAUCAUUAAGCAAUGCCACUAAACAUUAAUAGAGAAAAACCUAGAUAUCAGCAUAGUCAUUUCAUUGUCCUUAUUUACUGCUCAAAUAAACUUGGUUGUGACAUAUACUGAAACUGAUUCUAGGGAUGUGAUAGAGAAAAGAGCAAGAAUUGACAGUAGACAUAUGAGAAAACCCAAGGGUAAUAUUUUCCCAUUUUCGGUUUUUCUUAGUUGAAAUAUAAUUGAUUUACAGUGUUAUAUUAGUUUCAAGUGUGCAGCAUAGUGAUUCAGUAUUUUUAUUGAUUAUGCUGCAUUAAAAGUUUUAUGAAAUUUAUUGACUAUAUUCCUUGUUCUCUACAAUAUAUUCUUCUAGAUUAUUUAUUUUAUACAUAAUAGUUCAUACUCUUAAUCCCUUACCUCUCCUUUGCCCUUCCCGCCCCCCACUUCCUACUGGUAACCACUAGUUUCUUCUCUGUAUCUGGGAAUCUAUUUCUGUUUUGUUAUAGUCAUUUAUGUUAUUUUUUGGAUUCCACAUAUAAGUGAUAUAAAAUAUUUGUCUUCCUCUGACUUAUUUCACUAAGUAUAACACCUUUUAGACCCAUCCAUUGUUGUUGCAAAUGGCAGAGUUUCAUUCUUUUUUGCAGCUGAAUAAUAUUCCUGUGUGUGUGUUUGUGUGUGUCUGUGUGUCUGUGUGUCUCUGUAUGUGUGUGUGUCUCUGUGUGUGUGUCUGUGUGUCUGUGAGUGUAUGUGUGUGUGUGUCUUUGUGUGUUUGUGUGUCUGUGUGUGUGUGUCUGUAUGUGUCUGUGUGUGUGUGUCUGUGUGUGUGUGUUUGUGUGUCUGUGUGUGUGUGUGUCUGUGUCUGUGUGUGUCUCUGUGUCUGUGUGUGAGUGUUUGUGUGUCUGUGUGUGUGUCUGUGUGUGUGUGUUUGUGUGUCUGUGUGUGUCUGUGUCUCUCUGUGUGUGUUUGUGUGUCUGUGUCUGUCUGUAUGUGUCUGUGUGUGUGUUUGUGUGUGUGAAUGUCUGUGUGUGUCUGUGUGUGUGUCUAUUUGUGUGUGUGUCUGUGUGUGUGUGUGUCUUUGUGUGUCUGUGUGUGUCUGUGUAUGUGUCUGUGUGUGUCUGUGUCUAUGUGUGUCUGUGUGUGUCUGUGUGUGUGUGUGUCUGUGUGUGUGUGUCUGUGUGUGUCUGUUUGUGUGUGUGUGGGUGUGUGUUAUACAUCUUCUCUAUCCUCUCAUCUGUUGAUGGACUCUUCGCUUACUUUCAUACCUUGGCUAUUGUAAACAAUGCUGCUAUGAACAUUGCGGUUCAUAUAUUUUUGGGAGAUAGUGUUUUCAUUUUCUCUGCGCAUAUACUGAGGAAUGGAAUUGCUGGAUCCUAUGGUAGCUCUACUUUUAAUUUUUGGAGCAAUUUUCAUAGUAUUUUCCAUUAUGGCUGCACCAAUUACCAUUCUCACCAGCAGCAUACAAGGAUUCUGUUUACUCCACAUCCUCGCCAACUUUUGUAGAUUUCUUUGAUAGUCAUUCUGACAUGACAGAUGUGCAGUGAUAUCUCACUGUGGCUUUGAUUUGCAUUUCUCUGAUGAUUAGCCGUGUUGAACAUCUUUUCAUGUGUCUGUUGGCCAUAUAUAUGUCUUCUUUGGAAAAGGCCCAUUUUCUGUUUUCUUGUAGGACUUGUUUCUUCUAUGA